UUGAACGCUGGCGGAAUGCUUUACACAUGCAAGUCGAACGGCAGCACGGACUUCGGUCUGGUGGCGAGUGGCGAACGGGUGAGUAAUAUAUCGGAACGUAUCCAAUAAUGGGGGAUAACUAAUCGAAAGGUUGGCUAAUACCGCAUACGCCCUACGGGGGAAAGCUAGGGACCUUCGGGCCUGGCGUUAAUGGAGCGGCCGAUAUCUGAUUAGCUAGUUGGUGAGGUAAGAGCUCACCAAGGCGACGAUCAGUAGCUGGUCUGAGAGGACGACCAGCCACACUGGAACUGAGACACGGUCCAGACUCCUACGGGAGGCAGCAGUGGGGAAUUUUGGACAAUGGGCGCAAGCCUGAUCCAGCCAUUCCGCGUGAGUGAAGAAGGCCUUCGGGUUGUAAAGCUCUUUCGCAAGGGAAGAAAACUUAGUUACUAAUAUUAACUGAGGUUGACGGUACCUUGAUAAGAAGCACCGGCUAACUACGUGCCAGCAGCCGCGGUAAUACGUAGGGUGCGAGCGUUAAUCGGAAUUACUGGGCGUAAAGCGUGCGCAGGCUGUUUUGUAAGUCAGAUGUGAAAUCCCCGAGCUCAACUUGGGAACUGCGUUUGAAACUACAAGACUAGAAUAUGUCAGAGGGGGGUAGAAUUCCACGUGUAGCAGUGAAAUGCGUAGAGAUGUGGAGGAAUAUCAAUGGCGAAGGCAGCCCCCUGGGAUAAUAUUGACGCUCAUGCACGAAAGCGUGGGGAGCAAACAGGAUUAGAUACCCUGGUAGUCCACGCCCUAAACGAUGUCUACUAGUUGUUGGUGGAGUAAA
rnacentral:rRNA from 1 species